rnacentral:rRNA from 1 species
UGGGGAAUAUUGGACAAUGGGCGAAAGCCUGAUCCAGCCAUGCCGCGUGUGUGAAGAAGGUCUUCGGAUUGUAAAGCACUUUAAGUUGGGAGGAAGGGCAGUAAGUUAAUACCUUGCUGUUUUGACGUUACCGACAGAAUAAGCACCGGCUAACUCUGUGCCAGCAGCCGCGGUAAUACAGAGGGUGCAAGCGUUAAUCGGAAUUAAUGGGCGUAAAGCGCGCGUAGGUGGUUUGUUAAGUUGGAUGUGAAAGCCCCGGGCUCAACCUGGGAACUGCAUCCAAAACUGGCAAGCUAGAGUACGGUAGAGGGUGGUGGAAUUUCCUGUGUAGCGGUGAAAUGCGUAGAUAUAGGAAGGAACACCAGUGGCGAAGGCGACCACCUGGACUGAUACUGACACUGAGGUGCGAAAGCGUGGGGAGCAAACA